GAAGUUGCAAGGAAGGCGAUCCCCCCUCCCCAAAAGCCUGAUGCAAAACCUCAGCUGCAUCCAGAGGUGGCCUGGCCCUCACCUGGUCGCCAUAGAAACGGGGACAGCCAGGAGGUAGAUUGGGCUGAAGACAACAUCUGGACUGGCUCAGCUGGGACCAAGGGGUGAGCAAAGUUAACUUGGAGAUGGUCUUUCUUCAUUCUUCACCAAAAGAAGUCUUCUUCUGGCUUCAGCUGCCGGAGACUGAGAUGAAGACAUUCAGGAGGGACUUCUUUGGGGUCUUCCGAGGUGAAAGUUUGAGAUGUAAACUCAGAAAGAUUCUGGGAUUGGUCUUUGUUUCCAGGAUGGUCUUGGGCUCACUCCUCCAUCUUCAGAAAAACCCAUUAAUUCAGGGCCAGAGAAGAGACCAAGGGCUGCCCAUCCUUCCCAGUUGCUGGACCUUGGCGGGAGCAUGCCAACCUGUGCAGCUGUGUCCACAAAUCAGAUUACUCGGGAGUAAAUUAAGACACCAUCUGGGACUUGACAUGCAUGCAAAA